rnacentral:rRNA from 1 species
UGGGGAAUAUUGGACAAUGGGCGAAAGCCUGAUCCAGCCAUGCCGCGUGUGUGAAGAAGGUCUUCGGAUUGUAAAGCACUUUAAGUUGGGAGGAAGGGCAGUAAGCGAAUACCUUGCUGUUUUGACGUUACCGACAGAAUAAGCACCGGCUAACUCUGUGCCAGCAGCCGCGGUAAUACAGAGGGUGCAAGCGUUAAUCGGAAUUACUGGGCGUAAAGCGCGCGUAGGUGGUUCGUUAAGUUGAAUGUGAAAGCCCCGGGCCCAACCUGGGAACGGCACCCAAAACCGGCGAGGUAGGAUAGGGCAGGGGGUGGUGGAAGUGCCUGGGUGGCGGUGAAAGGCUUAGAUAAAGGAGGGGAAACCAGAGGCGAAGGCGACCACCUGGGGUAAUACUGGCACUGAGGUGCGAAAGGGUGGGGAGCAAACAGG